rnacentral:rRNA from 1 species
CUACGGGAUGCUGCAGUGGGGAAUAUUGGACAAUGGGGGAAACCCUGAUCCAGCAAUGCCGCGUGUGUGAAGAAGGCCUGCGGGUUGUAAAGCACUUUCGGUUGGGAGGACUGCUUCUAGCACUAAUAUUGUUGGAAGUUGACGUUACCUUCAGAAGAAGCACCGGCUAACUCCGUGCCAGCAGCCGCGGUAAUACGGAGGGGUGCAAGCGUUAAUCGGAAUUACUGGGCGUAAAGCGCGCGUAGGCGGCUAGAUCAGUCGGGUGUGAAAGCCCCGGGCUUAACCUGGGAACUGCAUCCGAUACUGUCUAGCUUGAGUACAGGAGAGGAGAGUGGAAUUCCACAUGUAGCGGUGAAAUGCGUAGAUAUGUGGAGGAACACCAAUGGCGAAGGCAGCUCUCUGGCCUGAUACUGACGCUGAGGUGCGAAAGCGUGGGGAGCAAACAGGAUUAGAUACCCGAGUAGUC